rnacentral:rRNA from 1 species
AGAGUUUGAUCCUGGCUCAGAACGAACGCUGGCGGCGUGGAUUAGGCAUGCAAGUCGUACGAUCCUUUAUGGAUAGUGGCAAACGGGUGAGUAAUACGUGGGCAAUUUGCCUUUCAGAUUGGGAUAACAUCGCGAAAGCGGUGCUAAUACCGAAUAAGACUACAUUAACGCAUGUUAGAGUAGUAAAAGGCGGGGACCCUUCGGGGCCUUUCACUGAAAGAUGAGCCCAUGUCCUAUCAGCUUGUUGGUAGGGUAACGGCCUACCAAGGCAUUUGACGGGUAGCUGGCCUUAGAGGGUGGUCAGCCACACUGGGACUGAGACACUGCCCAGACUCCUACGGGAGGCUGCAGUCGAGAAUCUUUUGCAAUGCCCGAAAGGGUGACAAUGCGACGCCGCGUGAGGGAUGAAGGUCUUCGGAUUGUAAACCUCUGUCACUGGGGAUGAAUACCCGAAAUCUAAUAUAUUGAGGGGAUGACAGUACCCAGAGAGGAAGCCACGGCUAACUCCGUGCCAGCAGCCGCGGUAAUACGGAGGUGGCAAGCGUUGUUCGGAUUGACUGGGUGUAAAGGGUAUGUAGGCGUCUCGGAAAGUCAAGCGUGAAAUACCUUGGCUCAACCAAGGAACUGCACUUGAAACUCCCGAGAUUGAGUGAAGGAGAAGAGAAUGGAAUUCCCGGUGUAAGGGUGAAAUCUGUAGAUAUCGGGAAGAACACCAGUGGCGAAAGCGAUUCUCUAGCCUUUUACUGACGCUGAAAUACGAAAGCUAGGGGAGCAAACAGGAUUAGAUACCCUGGUAGUCCUAGCCGUAAACGAUGGGCACUAGGUGUAGGUCCUUUUAGGAUCUGUGCCGCAGUUAACACAUUAAGUGCCCCACCUGGGGACUACGGCCGCAAGGCUGAAACUCAAAGGAAUUGACGGGGACCCGCACAAGCGGUGGAGCAUGUGGUUUAAUACGACGCUACGCGUGGAACCUUACCAGGACUUGACAUGUACCUGAAAUCCCGAUGAAAGUCGGGACCUCCCUUCAAGGACAGGUACACAGGUGUUGCAUGGCUGUCGUCAGCUCGUGUAGUGAGAUGUUGGGUUAAGUCCCGCAACGAGCGCAACCAUCGCCCUAUGUUGCUAACUGCUUUUAGCAGUGCACUCUUAGGGGACUGCCAGUGAUAAACUGGAGGAAGGUGGAGAUGACGUCAAGUCAGUACGGCCCUUACGUCCUGGGCGACACACGUGCUACAAUCCCCACUACAAUGGGUCGCGAAACCGCAAGGUGGAGCCAAUCCCAAAAAAGUGGGGUCAGUUCGGAUUGAGGGCUGCAAUUCGCCCUCAUGAAGUUGGAAUCGCUAGUAACCGCAGAUCAGACACGCUGCGGUGAAUACGUUCCCGGGUCUUGUACACACCGCCCGUCAAGCCACCUGAGUCGAAUGCACCCGAAGCCACUGACCUAACCCGCAAGGGAUGGAGGUGUCGAAGGUGUGUUUGAUAAGGAGGGCUAAGUCGUAACAAGGUA